rnacentral:rRNA from 1 species
AUCCUUCGGGAGAAAGAUUUAUCGGUGAUGGAUGAGCCCGCGUUGGAUUAGNUAGUUGGUGGGGUAAUGGCCUACCAAGGCGACGAUCCAUAGCUGGUNUGAGAGGAUGAUCACCCACACUGGGACUGAGACACGGCCCAGACUCUUACGGGAGGCAGCAGUGGGGAAUAUUGGACAAUGGGCGCAAGCCUGAUCCAGCCAUGCCGCGUGAGUGAUGAAGGCCCUAGGGUUGUAAAGCUCUUUCAACGGUGAAGAUAAUG